UACGUAGGGGGCAAGCGUUGUCCGGAAUUAUUGGGCGUAAAGAGCGCGUAGGCGGUCCGAUAAGUCGGCUGUGAAAGUCAGGGGCUCAACCCUUGAAAGCCGGCCGAUACUGUCGGACUAGAGUCCGGAAGAGGCAAGUGGAAUUCCCGGUGUAGCGGUGAAAUGCGCAGAUAUCGGGAGGAACACCAAUGGCGAAGGCAGCUGCUGGGACGGUACUGACGCUGAGGCGCGAAAGCGUGGGAGCAAACAGG
rnacentral:rRNA from 1 species